rnacentral:rRNA from 1 species
GGGUAAUUUUCCGCAAUGGGCGAAAGCCUGACAGAGCAAGACCGCGUGAGGGAGGAAGGCUCUUGGGUUGUAAACCUCUUUUCUUGGGGAAUAAAAAAAUGAAGGUACCCAAGGAAUCAGCAUCGGCUAACUCCGUGCCAGCAGCCGCGGUAAUACGGAGGAUGCAAGCGUUAUCCGGAAUUAUUGGGCGUAAAGCGUCCGCAGGUGGCACUUCAAGUCUGCUGUCAAAGACCGGGGCUUAACCCUGGAAAGGCAGUGGAAACUGAAGCGCUAGAGUGUCGUAGGGGUAGAGGGAAUUCCUGGUGUAGCGGUGAAAUGCGUAGAGAUCAGGAAGAACAUCGGUGGCGAAAGCGCUCUACUGGACGACAACUGACACUCAGGGACGAAAGCUAGGGGAGCGAAUGGGAUUAGAUACCCCAGUAGUCCUAGCCGUAAACGAUGGAUACUAGGUGUGGCUUGUAUCGACCCGAGCCGUGCCGUAGCUAACGCGUUAAGUAUCC